rnacentral:lncRNA from 1 species
UCUCGGUAUCUGUCCGGGAAACUUUGGGGCGGUUCCGUUUAUUCCUCCCGGUCGAUCGAGAUGGCUAGACAUUAGAUUAACUCCAGGUAUGUCUAUCUUCGGAGCUGCCCAGAAUUUCCCGUGCCGAUCGGUGACGACGGGAAGUUCGGUAACGUAUUUCUCGAAAACCGUGCAGAUUCUUGUAAAGACGGUGAUCGCCGCAUGUGCCAUUAACUCCGACACCUUCUCCUUACUCUGAUUCCAGAGAGACUCGUCCUGCAGCUUCUUAACUAACUUCCUCUGCAUCCCAAGUUUUUUCAAGAAGGCGUCGGCGCCAGGAGGAUUAUUCGCGUGGGAAUCACCGCCAUUAGCGGGGACGAGACCGUUGUAAGCCUUCCAUUGUUCCAGCUUCUUUUCCGAAACUUCCAUCUCGGCUAACUUCUCCAUCUCUCCGUGUAGACUUGACGUGGCGAAGACCAACGCCUCCAUUUUCUUCACCUUCUUGUCAAGCAUGUGGGCCGGGAAGCAGAGGCGAAGGUGGAAGUCGGCGGAGC